AUUGAACGCUGGCGGCAGGCCUAACACAUGCAAGUCGAGCGGAUGAAGGGAGCUUGCUCCUGGAUUCAGCGGCGGACGGGUGAGUAAUGCCUAGGAAUCUGCCUGGUAGUGGGGGAUAACGUCCGGAAACGGGCGCUAAUACCGCAUACGUCCUGAGGGAGAAAGUGGGGGAUCUUCGGACCUCACGCUAUCAGAUGAGCCUAGGUCGGAUUAGCUAGUUGGUGGGGUAAAGGCCUACCAAGGCGACGAUCCGUAACUGGUCUGAGAGGAUGAUCAGUCACACUGGAACUGAGACACGGUCCAGACUCCUACGGGAGGCAGCAGUGGGGAAUAUUGGACAAUGGGCGAAAGCCUGAUCCAGCCAUGCCGCGUGUGUGAAGAAGGUCUUCGGAUUGUAAAGCACUUUAAGUUGGGAGGAAGGGCAGUAAGUUAAUACCUUGCUGUUUUGACGUUACACCGAAUAAGCACCGCU
rnacentral:rRNA from 1 species